rnacentral:rRNA from 1 species
GACGAACGCUGGCGGCGUGCUUAACACAUGCAAGUCGAACGGAAAGGCCCCUUUGGGGGUACUCGAGUGGCGAACGGGUGAGUAACACGUGAGUAACCUGCCCUUGACUUCGGGAUAACUUCAGGAAACUGGGGCUAAUACCGGAUAGGAAUCCUUGCUGCAUGGGGGGGGUUGGAAAGCUUCGGCGGUUUUGGAUGGACUCGCGGCUUAUCAGCUUGUUGGUGGGGUAGUGGCUUACCAAGGCUUUGACGGGUAGCCGGCCUGAGAGGGCGACCGGCCACAUUGGGACUGAGGGACGGCCCAGACUCCUACGGGAGGCAGCAGUGGGGAAGAUUGCACAAUGGGCGGAAGCCUAAUGCAGCAACGCCGCGUGCGGGAUGACGGCCUUCGGGUUGUAAACCGCUUUCAGCAGGGGCGAAGCUUGUGGUGACGGUACCUGCAGAAGAAGCACCGGCUAACUACGUG